rnacentral:rRNA from 1 species
GACGAACGCUGGCGGCGUGCUUAACACAUGCAAGUCGAACGGAGGAUUUUGCUUCGGUAGAAUUCUUAGUGGCGAACGGGUGAGUAACGCGUAGACAACCUACCUCUCAGAUGGGGACAACAUCGCGAAAGCGGUGCUAAUACCGAAUGAUGUGACUUUUCUGCAUGGAAGAGUUACCAAAGGCGGCCUCUAUUUAUAAGCUGUCCCUGAGAGAUGGGUCUGCGUCUGAUUAGCUAGUUGGCGGGGUAAUGGCCCACCAAGGCGACGAUCAGGAGCCGGUCUGAGAGGAUGAACGGCCACAUUGGGACUGAGACACGGCCCAAACUCCUACGGGAGGCAGCAGUGGGGAAUCUUCCGCAAUGGACGAAAGUCUGACGGAGCAACGCCGCGUGAGUGAAGAAGGUUUUCGGAUCGUAAAGCUCUGUUGUUUGAGACGAAUGUGCAAUUUUUGAAUAAGGAAUUGUAAUGACGGUAUUAAACGAGAAAGCCACGGCUAACUACGUGCCAGCAGCCGCAGUAA